rnacentral:rRNA from 1 species
CGCGGCCUAUCAGCUUGUUGGUGGGGUAACGGCCCACCAAGGCGACGACGGGUAGCCGGCCUGAGAGGGCGACCGGCCACACUGGGACUGAGACACGGCCCAGACUCCUAUGGGAGGCAGCAGUGGGGAAUAUUGCACAAUGGGCGAAAGGCUGAUGCAGCGACGCCGCGUGGGGGAUGAAGGCCUUCGGGUUGUAAACCCCUUUCAGCAGGGAAGAAGCGAGAGUGACGGUACCUGCAGAAGAAGCGCCGGCUAACUACGUGCCAGCAGCCGCGGUAAUACGUAGGGCGCAAGCGUUGUCCGGAAUUAUUGGGCGUAAAGAGCUCGUAGGCGGUCUGUCGCGUCUGCUGUGAAAACCCGAGGCUCAACCUCGGGCCUGCAGUGGGUACGGGCAGACUAGAGUGCGGUAGGGGAGACUGGAAUUCCUGGUGUAGCGGUGGAAUGCGCAGAUAUCAGGAGGAACACCGAUGGCGAAGGCAGGUCUCUGGGCCGCAACUGACGCUGAGGAGCGAAAGCAUGGGGAGCGAACAGGAUUAGAUACCCUGGUAGUCCAUGCCGUAAACGUUGGGCACUAGGUGUGGGGCUCAUUCCACGAGUUCCGUGCCGCAGCAAACGCAUUAAGUGCCCCGCCUGGGGAGUACGG